GGAGUAGGCCCCUGGCUCCUGCUCUGACAGCACACCCGAGAGUCACUUCCGGGGCCACAUUCCCAGUGGUGAUGGAGUACAGUUUCAAAGCGUGAUAAAAACAGCUCUUCCCUUUGCUGCUUCUCCUCCGAGAAAGUGAAACUGUAUCUUCCUAGAACUGAUCACAGUUCAAAGUCAGCUCAUUCCAUUUUCAGCCUGACUCGCUCCACUUUCCUGUGAUCAUUCUUUUCAGCUUUACCAACUCCUUCAUACACAAGAAAGCGUCCGAGGGACAUGGAUGCAGGCGUGCAGACAGCACCGGAUGGACUCAGCAGGCUGUGUUUACGUCUUCAUUUAUUUGUAUUUACAUGAAAAACAAUGAAGAAAGAGGAAAGGCCAUGAAUUUGGGGGAGGGGAUUGGAUGUAGAAGGGAUAGGAGGGAGGGAAAGGAGAGGAUAAAUGAUAUUUUAAAUAAUAAUAAAAAGAAAAGUUCUCUUCUUCUUAACUUGCGAGAUAA